GGAAUAUUGGACAAUGGGCGAAAGCCUGAUCCAGCCAUGCCGCGUGUGUGAAGAAGGCCUUCGGGUUGUAAAGCACUUUAAGCAGAGAAGAAAGGUUGCAGGCUAAUAACCUGUAGCUCUGACGGUACCUGCAGAAUAAGCACCGGCUAAUUCCGCGCCAGCAGCCGCGGUAAUACGGAAGGUGCAAGCGUUAAUCGGAUUUACUGGGCGUAAAGCGUGCGUAGGCGGUUUUGUAAGUCGGAUGUGAAAUCCCCGGGCUCAACCUGGGAAUUGCACCCGAAACUACAAGACUAGAAUUCGGUAGAGGGAAGUGGAAUUCCAGGUGUAGCGGUGAAAUGCGUAGAUAUCUGGAGGAACAUCAAUGGCGAAGGCAACUUCCUGGGCCUGAAUUGACGCUGAGGUACGAAAGCGUGGGGAGCA
rnacentral:rRNA from 1 species